AUUGAACGCUGGCGGCAGGCUUAACACAUGCAAGUCGAGCGGGGUGAUGGUGCUUGCACUAUCACUUAGCGGCGGACGGGUGAGUAAUGCUUAGGAAUCUGCCUAUUAGUGGGGGACAACAUCUCGAAAGGGAUGCUAAUACCGCAUACGUCCUACGGGAGAAAGCAGGGGAUCACUUGUGACCUUGCGCUAAUAGAUGAGCCUAAGUCGGAUUAGCUAGUUGGUGGUGUAAAGGCCUACCAAGGCGACGAUCUGUAGCGGGUCUGAGAGGAUGAUCCGCCACACUGGGACUGGGACACGGCCCAGACUCCUACGGGAGGCAGCAGUGGGGAAUAUUGGACAAUGGGGGGAACCCUGAUCCAGCCAUGCCGCGUGUGUGAAGAAGGCCUUAUGGUUGUAAAGCACUUUAAGCGAGGAGGAGGCUCUUUUGGUUAAUACCCAAGAUGAGUGGACGUUACUCGCAGAAUAAGCACCGGCUAACUCUGUGCCAGCCGCCGCCGUAAAAC
rnacentral:rRNA from 1 species